AGUGAACGCUGGCGGUAGGCCUAACACAUGCAAGUCGAACGGCAGCACAGUAAGAGCUUGCUCUUACGGGUGGCGAGUGGCGGACGAGUGAGGAAUACAUCGGAAUCUACUUUUUCAUGGGGGAUAACGUAGGGAAACUUACGCUAAUACCGCAUACGACCUACGGGUGAAAGCAGGGGAUCUUCGGACCUUGCGCGAUUGAAUGAGCCGAUGUCGGAUUAGCUAGUUGGCGGGGUAAAGGCCCACCAAGGCGACGAUCCGUAGCUGGUCUGAGAGGAUGAUCAGCCACACUGGAACUGAGACACGGUCCAGACUCCUACGGGAGGCAGCAGUGGGGAAUAUUGGACAAUGGGCGCAAGCCUGAUCCAGCCAUACCGCGUGGGUGAAGAAGGCCUUCGGGUUGUAAAGCCCUUUUGUUGGGAAAGAAAAGCAGCAGGUUAAUACCCCGCUGUUCUGACGGUACCCAAAGAAUAAGCACCGGCUAACUUCGUG
rnacentral:rRNA from 1 species